AAACUCGUUCCGGCUGGAGAGACCCCUCGGCCAUGAAAUAUUAAUUCGGUGAUCUACGGCAGCACAUUCCAGGUGCAAUUAGGAGCUGUUGGUCGGGGAAAUGUGCGGCGGCGGAGCUCAGGCAGCGCUCAGCCCCAUCUCCUCUUGCUAUAGCAACGGGGAGACCUUGGCAACCCACGGCCCUGGCAGUUAUUGAGAUGGGAGCAGGAAUUGUGCAUCGCGGUGACUAUCUGCCCUACAAAAAGGAAUGCUCAGCAAGCAAAUGAACCAGCUCAUAAACACCUCCAGCUGCUGCAUGCCGGGCAGAGCUUGUGCCUGCCAGAGCAGCACCCACUAUCUCCUGUCCCACCAGGUCCCAUCACCUCCUGUCCCACCUCCCUGUGUCCCAUAACCUCCUCUCCCAACUCCUGUCCCAUCUCCCCAUGUCCCAUCACCUCCCCGUGUCCCACCUCCCUGUAUCCCACCAUGCCUCGCCCAUCAGAACAGGCUCCUGCCUCCGGGGGAGGACAUAGCAAGGCUGUGUUACUACUGCUGUUGUCAUUUAGGCAGUUAAUGGGGCAGCAAUAACCCAUUCUGAGCAUGAGUCAGUCCUUUCAGGGGGAGGCACUUGCUUGCACUGCUGCUCUUCUUGGCACCCUGAGGCCCCAAGACCCUGCUCCUCACACCCAUCACUGUCUCAGUUCCCACUCAAACUCAGCUGCUUCUUUCCACUCCAACAUCUAGAUUAGUCCGACUGAAUUCCUCCAGCAGCCUCUAUACGCUGACCUGCACAACUCCCCUAUCAUGUCCCCACCAAGACUCUCUCUCAGCUUUAACUCCCCCAGGCUUUACCAGCACAAGUGGAUGGAGCCCAGCCAAGAGCUUCUACAGAAUCACAGCAUCAUUAAGGUUGGAAAAGACCACCAGGCCUUUCAUUCAGGCCAGACCCCAACCCAUCAGCUUCCCCACUGACCCCAACGCCAGCCACCAGUGCGGUCCAGUAGGAAUGCAGCUGCGUGCUGCAGUACCUGGAGGCAAUUAAACAAUAGUACUGGACACAUCAGUCCUCCAGGAAAGCUGCCAAGGAGCUUUGGGAGCAUGGAAAGCGCAGGGGUGUGCUGCGCUUAAACACCAUUCUGAAGAGAGAAGCAGCAGGAAUGGAGGGUAGAUCAGACAGCGCAGCGACUCCACUCAAGAAGAGCAAUGGUAUAGAAAACCUAUAUAUCCGAUUCCCAGCCCUGAGGUGUCAUCUGAUGGAGCACGCUGGCCAGGCUCCACGCAGCGAUGCCAGCAUCCACUGCUGAGGGCUGGACCCACGACGUCUGUCAGCAUUUUCAUCUGGUUUUGUUUUCGACUGGUCUGGAAAUACCUCCACCAGAAGGCAUCAUGCCCUUUUGUGCACAUUAAAACCGAGAGCUACCGGAGACAAACGUCUACAUGUUAACCACGGGCUGGGAGAAAGCAGCACCCUGACUCUCUCAUCCAGCCACAUCCCUGCACAUCUUGUCCUGCAGCCCUUCCUAAGCCCAUUGACUGGCAGGGGAUGCCAGCAGCUGGCAGGGAAUGAGAUGUGCUGCCUUCCUGCAGGGCUGUACUGGGGUGCCCAGGAGCUCAUCCCAACGGAGCAGCCCCCAGCACAAAGAUACGGGUGAUGGAAAGUAGCCUUUGUCCAAGGAGGGUGGAUCUUUCAUUAUGUUUUGUAUACCUCCUAUACCAACAAAGCCAUGAAGCAUACGGUCCCUUUAGGUUCUGUGAAUCCACUUAGAUCGUAUCUCUGGAGCUGGAGCUUUCCAAGAAUUGAAUAGCUGAGAGACACGACGUGGGUGAAGUGAAAUCAAACACAGAGCCUCCAACAUGAAAGGCAAUCAGAGAGGAUGACAGCACUGCUUAUACUGAGGGAGAAAGGGGGAGGCAAGGAAAUUAAAAGCAAUUAAAGGGAAUUAAUUAAAAGGUAUAGCUGAACUAUGAAAGAAGAAAAACAGCUACGCGGAGUUUGCUAAAUAGCCCCAACUUUUAAUUGUUGCACUUAGAGCUGUAAGCCCUAGGGGUUCCACUGCCCUGUGGCUGUCUCAAAACAACAAAAGAGAAUCCCAUGACUUAACCAAAUGACUCCUCUGCCUCUCCAUCUGCGUGGCUGAUGAGUUUCGGAUCUCUCCUCCCAGCCAGCAGCAAAAGAGCCAUGAGAAGCAAGGCUGCCCUCACAAAGACCAUAGAACAAACUGGAAAGAUCCAGUGCCCACAGCCCUCUGAUGCAUAAACAGCGCAGGGUCUGAAGGUUGCAGAGCACCAGCUCCCACCAGAGAGAUGGAUGCAGCUGCAAUGGGCUGAGUCACGGGGCUGCGUCCUGCUGCUGGGUACAGAGCAUGGAUGGGGCAGGUGGGAAGUG
rnacentral:lncRNA from 7 species